UUGAAGCUCAGUGAUAGAGCACUUGCCUAGAAUCCAUGAGGCCCUGGGUUCAAUCUCCAGCCCUUCAAA
rnacentral:tRNA from 1 species